UGUCCCGAUUACGAGGAUAAGCGAAUAAAGUGAAAGCGAAUCUCACGAAUCGAGAGUUUGUUGAAAUUCUGUCCGGAUUGCGGAACAAGUGGAUCGAGGCGACAACGGAUCUCACAAAUCAUCUGUCUGUUCAAAUCAGCUGCGUUCUGGUUGGAAAGAUCAAAGGACAGUCGACAACCGAUCACGUACGUUGAAGACCAUUGAAAUAAUUGUCGUACCAUCUUGUUUAUAUAAACAGUGUAUUUUAAUUUUUUAUAUACCCAUCUUUCUACCCGAGUUUGCCGGAUAUCAAAGCUUGCCCCAGUAGUGGCGUAUCCGCGUGAAAUGGCGCCUAUGGAAAUGUUUAAAAUGCGCCCUCUUGAUCGAUCGUUUACUGAAAUUUUUAACUACGGUUUGUUGCUUUGGGAUACUUUUACGUUAUUUAAGUAGUUUUUAUCAAAAUGAUGUUUCGCCCAUUGUGCGCCCUCGUCCAAAUGGCGCCCGUGGCAGGGGCAGUGGCCCUCUUGCUAUACAUGUAUGCCACUGAGCCCAGGUAUCACCAAGAAAUUCACGAUUCUUCAUUUCGUGUCUGAUCAUAGCAGAAAAGCUUGAUAUCUCAAUGUUGCUCGCUUAUAAGCAAUCCGUCCCUGCAUUCCCAUACCCUCUUCCAGCUGUUGACCCAUGCCUAUUUUACAUGUCCCAAUUCAACCCCCCGUCAAUCACCAACCAUAACCCCCAAAGGCGUCACUCAAAGUUUGCGUAAAACGUUUACUAUAAAUCUAUUCGCUAGAGGUCGCUGCUGGGUAAGGAAUUGAAUGGUAUUUCGCUUGUUCGAAAAUUAGCGAUAUUUUUAUACGUUUUGUUUUCAUUUUAUUUUAUUCCAUGGCCCGUAUAGGGUAAAUUUUUCCAAUUAGGCUUUCAAUACUUUUAUUAUCGCUUUGGAAUCAUAGUUUGUCACGAAAUAAAUGUAGAACCAGUCGCGUAAGUCAAAUCAGAAAACAGAAAAGAGUCUCAUGUCAGGAUUCCGUUGAAAAAAU